rnacentral:snoRNA from 1 species
ACCCUCCUCAGAGAUUCCUUGUCGCUCACACCUGAAUAGUGGUCUGAGUGGCUGGAAAAAAAGGAGGCAGAGUAGAACUGAAACCAACAUGGCAUCUUUGGUGGCAAACAAGU